AACGAACGCUGGCGGCGUGCCUAACACAUGCAAGUCGAACGGAGAUAAGGGGCUUGCUCCUUAUUUUAGUGGCGCACGGGUGAGUAACGCGUGGACAAUCUGCCUGAUGCUCUGGGAUAACAUCUCGAAAGGGGUGCUAAUACCGGAUAAGCCCACGGGGUCUUAGGAUCUUGCGGGAAAAGGAGGGGACCUUCGGGCCUUCCGACAUCAGAUGAGUCCGCGUCCCAUUAGCUAGUUGGUAGGGUAAAGGCCUACCAAGGCGACGAUGGUUAGCUGGUCUGAGAGGAUGAUCAGCCACACUGGAACUGAGACACGGUCCAGACUCCUACGGGAGGCAGCAGUGGGGAAUUUUGCGCAAUGGGGGAAACCCUGACGCAGCAACGCCGCGUGAGUGAUGAAGGCCCUCGGGUCGUAAAGCUCUGACAGAGGGAAAGAAGUGCAGGGGAGCUAAUAUCUCCUUUGCUUGACGGCACCCUCAAAGGAAGCACCGGCUAACUCCGUGCCAGCAGCAGCCGCAGUAA
rnacentral:rRNA from 1 species